rnacentral:lncRNA from 1 species
AGGCCUGUGUUACUCAGUGAAGAUAAAGGUUUAAAAAUUCUAAAAUCCUGAGAAGAGACUUGUAUAAAGAAAACUGAAAAUGCCUGACUAUGGAGUCACCAGUUUAGAGACUAAAAGAAACUUUGGGUUUUCAGUGGCAAAGGGAGAAAGAGAAAGAAGGAUUUCAGCACGCCUGGAAAUGGCAGGAAGUGUAAGAAAAUCUGGAAUCCAGGAACAUUUAAUCACGCCACAUUAUGAGGUCACUCUCUCUGGAUCAGAACCUGGCAUAGUGCUGAAGACAAAACUGGUCCUCAGUAAAUGACAGUGAUUGGUUGCUUGUGAUAAAGCAAAUUUCCUCAAUGUUUUGUCUGACACAUUUGUUCCUACCACUGUCGGUAAU